rnacentral:rRNA from 1 species
GCCUGUGACGAAGUCGUCCGGAAUGCGCCCAAUCUCAUGGGAUCUCGGAAGCGAAGCACGGUUGAGUUUGGAUCGUGCUUGGAUGGGUGACCACCGUGCAUGACAGGUGUUACAGGCU